rnacentral:rRNA from 1 species
UGGGGAAUAUUGCACAAUGGGCGCAAGCCUGAUGCAGCCAUGCCGCGUGUGUGAAGAAGGCCUUCGGGUUGUAAAGCACUUUCAGCGAGGAGGAAGGGGUUGAGUUUAAUACGCUCAAUCAUUGACGUUACUCGCAGAAGAAGCACCGGCUAACUCCGUGCCAGCAGCCGCGGUAAUACGGAGGGUGCAAGCGUUAAUCGGAAUUACUGGGCGUAAAGCGCACGCAGGCGGUUUGUUAAGUCAGAUGUGAAAUCCCCGCGCUUAACGUGGGAACUGCAUUUGAAACUGGCAAGCUAGAGUCUUGUAGAGGGUGGUAGAAUUCCAGGUGUAGCGGUGAAAUGCGUAGAGAUCUGGAGGAAUACCGGUGGCGAAGGCGGCCCCCUGGACAAAGACUGACGCUCAGGUGCGAAAGCGUGGGGAGCAAACA